CCUACGGAUGGCAGCAGUGAGGAAUAUUGGUCAAUGGACGGAAGUCUGAACCAGCCAAGUCGCGUGAAGGAUGACGGCCCUAUGGGUUGUAAACUUCUUUUGUAUGAGAAUAAAACUGAAUAUGCAUACCCUCUUGUAUGUACCAUACGAAUAAGGAUCGGCUAACUCCGUGCCAGCAGCCGCGGUAAUACGGAGGAUCCGAGCGUUAUCCGGAUUUAUUGGGUUUAAAGGGUGCGUAGGCGGAUUGAUAAGUUAGAGGUGAAAGUUCCGGGCUUAACCCGAGAACUGCAUUUAAUACUGUUAGUCUAGAGUACAGUAGAGGUGGGCGGAAUGUAUGGUGUAGCGGUGAAAUGCUUAGAGAUCAUGAAGAACUCCGAUUGCGAAGGCAGCUCACUGGUCUGCAACUGACGCUGAUGCACGAAAGUGUGGGUAGCAAACAGGAUUAGAUACCCUAGUAGUC
rnacentral:rRNA from 1 species